rnacentral:rRNA from 1 species
UAGGGAAUCUUCCACAAUGGACGCAAGUCUGAUGGAGCAACGCCGCGUGAGUGAAGAAGGUUUUCGGACCGUAAAGCUCUGUUGUUGGUGAAGAAGGAUAGAGGUAGUAACUGGCCUUUAUUUGACGGUAAUCAACCAGAAAGUCACGGCUAACUACGUGCCAGCAGCCGCGGUAAUUCGUAGGUGGCAAGCGUUGUCCGGAUUUAUUGGGCGUAAAGCGAGCGCAGGCGGAAGAAUAAGUCUGAUGUGAAAGCCCUCGGCUUAACCGAGGAAUUGCAUCGGAAACUG